UACGGAGGGUGCAAGCGUUAUCCGGAUUCACUGGGUUUAAAGGGUGCGUAGGCGGAUAAGUAAGUCAGUGGUGAAAUCUCCGAGCUUAACUCGGAAACUGCCGUUGAUACUAUUUGUCUUGAAUAUUGUGGAGGUAAGCGGAAUAUGUCAUGUAGCGGUGAAAUGCUUAGAUAUGACAUAGAACACCAAUUACGAAGGCAGCUUACUACACAAUGAUUGACGCUGAGGCACGAAAGCGUGGGGAUCAAACAGG
rnacentral:rRNA from 1 species